AAACGACCGUCUCCGCUGCCAUGAGAUGCCGACAGCCUGUGCGCUGGCCGCCACCCCCUGCUCCAUCAGGUGCUGGAAUCUGAGUAAAAGCCUGGGCGCGAGCUCCCAGCCCCGGGGCCUGCCACCGGCUCCACGAAGCGGGCAGCUCCAGCGGCCGCCGGGAGAAGGAAGGGCGACCGGGGGAGACGGGUCGCAGGGACAGCACGUGGCGGAAAGUUAGCCCCGGACUAGCACGCCCCACCCGGAGAAGCCGGCCUGGAAGGGGCUGCGGACCACCAGGCGGAGCGGUGGGCGACCGAAGUGCGGCUGGGCUGGCCUCCUCGUCUCCGCACUGGAAGAAUUGCCCUUCCGCAAGUCUUCCCUUCCCACAUGGGGGCCCUCCAGGCCGCACCUCGGUCGCCCACCGCUUCCCUUGAGAAGGGAGACUAAAGACAGGCAUCUGGAAGCUGUCACUGUGGCGCGCGGGCAGACAGGGGAUCCCAUUGGAGAGGAAGAGCCGUAGUAGUCGCUGCUGCCUUCGGCCGACCCAACGGCCGCCUGCUUGGGAGGAAGAAAAAGAACGCCCCCGCUGAAGAAUUAAGGCAGCCAUUGGUUGCUCUAGGGGGUUACAAGAUGGGCAGUACAAUAGAGGAUGGACUGGAGUUGGAAAAGACUAAAGCAGCAAGUUUGAUAAGGAGGCUACAGCAAUAGUCCAGGUGAAAGACGCAAGAGCCCAAAAUGCAGCAGUGGCCAAGGGAAUGGAUCUGAGAUAAAGUUCAGAAGAUAGAGUUGGCAGGGCA
rnacentral:lncRNA from 1 species